GACGAACGCUGGCGGCGUGCUUAACACAUGCAAGUCGAACGGAAAGGCCCUGCUUGCAGGGUACUCGAGUGGCGAACGGGUGAGUAACACGUGGGUGAUCUGCCCUGCACUUCGGGAUAAGCCUGGGAAACUGGGUCUAAUACCGGAUAGGAGCCAUUUUUAGUGUGAUGGUUGGAAAGUUUUUUCGGUGUAGGAUGAGCUCACGGCCUAUCAGCUUGUUGGUGGGGUAAUGGCCUACCAAGGCGGCGACGGGUAGCCGGCCUGAGAGGGUGGACGGCCACAUUGGGACUGAGAUACGGCCCAGACUCCUACGGGAGGCAGCAGGGGGGAAUAUUGCACAAUGGGCGCAAGCCUGAUGCAGCGACGCCGCGUGGGGGAUGACGGCCUUCGGGUUGUAAACUCCUUUCGCUAGGGACGAAGCUUUUUGUGACGGUACCUAGAUAAGAAGCACCGGCUAACUACGUG
rnacentral:rRNA from 1 species